CGCUGAGAAUCGACGAAACGAAAACUCGAGCGCGAGUCUCGAACAGGAUUUCCAUAGUGCGUUACAUUCCAGGUUCAGAUACAUUGAUAUCUACAACGAAUACUUGACAUUGAUUAUGAGAGUGGAUAAAAAUACAUCAACGCAAUAUGUACAAUAAGAGAGGAAAUAAAGAGACAGAAUGAGGAUAGAUUUAAGAAAAACAGCUGCAAGAUACGACGAAGGAAUCAAUGAGGGAAAAUACAGUAUGUUGGUAAAGGAAUGUUGGCAGAAAGGAAAAGAAGAGGAAGAUAGAUGCCGAUGGACGAGAUGAGGAAAAGGAAAGGAAGAAUAUUUUAGAAGGUGUGGGUACUCGGAGAAAGAGGUAGAGAGGUUUGAAAGUGAAGAGAAAGAGAUGUGGAAAGUUUGGGAAGUAAGAGAUAGAUGCAAGAGGAAGAAUUAGACAGAGCAAAUAAGAUCUGAGAACCUAAAUACGUUCAGAGACAUGGAAAAAUAAUAGUGCUAGAUUGACCAGGUUACACAAAGAGGAAUGAGCAAAGGAGGAAAAUAGAUUGAGAUCCGGAAACAAGGAAAAAAAGAAUAGAUACUGCAAAGAAAAAAAUAAGAGGUGACGCGAGCUAUGUGGAAAAGAGCUGGAGACGCUGAAGGGAUGGCAAGUAUGAGGAGCGUGGAAGAGUCGCUGAAAGAUGAGGGAUAAAGAUUGGAAUAGGCAAAACAAUUAGAGGAAAGAAGGAAGAAGCAGAGAAAAAAGAUAGAAAAGUGCUAAUAAAAGGAGCUGUUACGUCUAAGUAAUGGAAAAACGCACAAUCAAAGAGGACACGAGGCAAUGCAAAGUACAUAUUUAGAUUACAAGGGUAGAUUUGGAUAUGUAGUUUGUUACUUAGUCACCAUAGUUUUCUUGUUUGAUUUUAAACAUAGUUCUUCUUAAUGAUGGAUUACUACUGUUGUUUAUGUGCAUGUUUGCACAAUGUAAACUGGAGGUCACCGCAAAACUAAAAGGCAAGCGAAGGUGAAGAUUGCAUGUAUGCAUAUAUAUUCUAAAUAUGUAUCUUACUCUGUAUAUAUAUUCUAAAAAUGCUAAAAAUAGAUUAUAUUUUUUAAGAAUUUGUUUCUUAACAAGUUAACAUUAUCAUUAAAUAUUACAAUUGGAAAUUCAUCGUAUGACUAAGAUGGUAUUUAUUAAUAAAAAAAAUUACAGUAAAUUCGCACAUUCGAAUGCACUGAUCUCUC